rnacentral:rRNA from 1 species
UACGGAGGGUGCGAGCGUUGUCCGGAAUCAUUGGGCGUAAAGGGCGCGUAGGUGGCCCGGUCAGUUCGUGGUGAAAGCGCGGGGCUCAACCCUGCGUCGGCCAUGAAUACUGCCGCGGCUGGAGCACUGUAGAGGCAGGCGGAAUUCCGGGUGUAGCGGUGGAAUGCGUAGAGAUCCGGAAGAACACCGGUGGCGAAGGCGGCCUGCUGGGCAGUUGCUGACACUGAGGCACGAAAGCGUGGGGAGCGAACAGG